UUUAAUCACUAGGGGGGCUGGAUGAGGCCAGCUGAGAUUAAGAUCCUGAGAAAUCUUUGACCCUUUAACCUGAUCUGGAUAAUACCAGCGUAGGAAAGUGGACUGAAAUAAGA
rnacentral:ncRNA from 2 species